rnacentral:rRNA from 1 species
CAGCAGCCGCGGGAAUACGAAGGGGGCUAGCGUUGCUCGGAAUCACUGGGCGUAAAGGGAGCGUAGGCGGCGUGGUAAGUCAGAUGUGAUAUCCCGGGGCUCAACCCCGGAACUGCAUCCGAUACUGCCGUGCUAGAGGAUUGGAGAGGUAGCUGGAAUUCUUGGUGUAGCAGUGAAAUGCGUGGAGAUCAAGAGGAACACUCGUGGCGAAAGCGAGCUACUGGACAAUAUCUGACGCUGAGGCUCGAAGGCCAGGGUAGCGAAAGGGAUUAGAUACCCCGGUAGUCCCUGUCUCUUAUAC